AACGAACGCUGGCGGCAUGCCUAACACAUGCAAGUCGAACGAGACCUUCGGGUCUAGUGGCGCACGGGUGCGUAACGCGUGGGAACCUGCCCUUAGGUUCGGAAUAACUCCCCGAAAGGGGUGCUAAUACCGGAUAAUGUCUUCGGACCAAAGAUUUAUCGCCUUUGGAUGGGCCCGCGUUGGAUUAGCUAGUUGGUAGGGUAAAAGCCUACCAAGGCGACGAUCCAUAGCUGGUCUGAGAGGAUGAUCAGCCACACUGGGACUGAGACACGGCCCAGACUCCUACGGGAGGGAGCAGUGGGGAAUAUUGGAAAAGGGGCGAAAGCCUGAUACAGCAAUGCCGCGUGAGUGAUGAAGGCCUUAGGGUUGUAAAGCUCUUUUACCCGGGAUGAUAAUGACAGUACCGGGAGAAUAAGCUCCGGCUAACUCCGUG
rnacentral:rRNA from 1 species